UACGUAGGGUGCGAGCGUUGUCCGGAAUUAUUGGGCGUAAAGAGCUCGUAGGCGGUGUGUCACGUCGGCCGUGAAAACCUGCAGCUUAACUGUGGGCGUGCGGUCGAUACGGGCAUCACUGGAGUUCGGCAGGGGAGACUGGAAUUCCUGGUGUAGCGGUGAAAUGCGCAGAUAUCAGGAGGAACACCGGUGGCGAAGGCGGCACUCUGGGCCGGUACUGACGCUGAGGAGCGAAAGCGUGGGUAGCAAACAGG
rnacentral:rRNA from 1 species